rnacentral:rRNA from 1 species
GACGAACGCUGGCGGCGUGCUUAACACAUGCAAGUCGAACGGAAAGGCUCCAGCUUGCUGGCGUACUCGAGUGGCGAACGGGUGAGUAACACGUGGGUAAUCUGCCCUGCACUCUGGGAUAAGCCUGGGAAACUGGGUCUAAUACUGGAUAUGACCUUUCUCCUUAUGGGGUUUGGUGGAAAGUUUUUCGGUGUAGGAUGAGCCCGCGGCCUAUCAGCUUGUUGGUGGGGUGAUGGCCUACCAAGGCGACGACGGGUAGCCGGCCUGAGAGGGUGACCGGCCACAUUGGGACUGAGAUACGGCCCGGCCUCCUACGGGAGGCAGCAGUGGGGAAUAUUGCACAAUGGGCGGAAGCCUGAUGCAGCGACGCCGCGUGAGGGAUGACGGCCUUCGGGUGGUAAACCUCUUUCGGCAGGGACGAAGCGUAAGUGACGGUACCUGCAGAAGAAGCACCGGCUAACUAUGUG